rnacentral:rRNA from 1 species
AGGCCGGGAACUCAAAGGAGACUGCCAGUGAUAAACUGGAGGAAGGUGGGGAUGACGUCAAGUCAUCAUGGCCCUUACGACCAGGGCUACACACGUGCUACAAUGGCGCAUACAAAGAGAAGCGACCUCGCGAGAGCAAGCGGACCUCAUAAAGUGCGUCGUAGUCCGGAUUGGAGUCUGCAACUCGACUCCAUGAAGUCGGAAUCGCUAGUAAUCGUGGAUCAGAAUGCCACGGUGAAUACGUUCCCGGGCCUUGUACACACCGCCCGUCACACCAUGGGAGUGGGUUGCAAAAGAAGUAGGUAGCUUAACAUUCGGGAGGGCGCUUACCACUUUGUGAUUCAUGACUGGGGUGAAGUCGUAACAAGGUAACCGUAGGGGAACCUGCGGUUGGAUCACCUCCUUA